AUUGAACGCUGGCGGCAGGCCUAACACAUGCAAGUCGAACGAGUGGCGUACGGGUGAGUAAUGUCUGGGAAACUGCCUGAUGGAGGGGGAUAACUACUGGAAACGGUAGCUAAUACCGCAUACCAUCGGAUGUGCCCAGAUGGGAUUAGCUAGUAGGUGGGGUAAAGGCUCACCUAGGCGACGAUCCCUAGCUGGUCUGAGAGGAUGACCAGCUACACGGGAACUUAUACACGGUCAAGACUCCUACGUGAGGCAGCAGUGGGGAAUAUUGCACAAUGGGCGCAAGCCUGAUGCAGCCAUGCCGCGUGUAUGAAGAAGGCCUUCGGGUUGUAAAGUACUUUCAGCGGGGAGGCGUUACCCGCAGAAGAAGCACCGGCUAACUCCGUGCCAGCAGCCGCGGUAAUUC
rnacentral:rRNA from 1 species